rnacentral:lncRNA from 1 species
AGCAAGCUAUAUGGUUGAGUUAGUUAACCAAUGAGUUAAAAGUUAGUUAGAAAGAUGCCCUGUUGGCAUCAGUUAGUUACUGCAUUUACUUGUAGUAUAAAUAUACCCUAUGUACAGAUACAUUGUAUCAAGUCACAUUAUACAAUCAAUACAACUCUCUCUUCUUCCUCUCUUCUAGCUAUGGUGUUUAAGCUUGAGCUAUGAAGCUUUCAU